UGAGGAAUAUUGCGCAAUGGGCGGGAGCCUGAACCAGCCAAGCCGCGUGAGGGAGGAAGGCCCUAUGGGUCGUAAACCUCUUUUGUCAGGGAACAAAAGCGAGUAUGUAUACUAGUCUGAGUGUACCUGAAGAAAAAGCAUCGGCUAACUCCGUGCCAGCAGCCGCGGUAAUACGGAGGAUGCGAGCGUUAUCCGGAUUUAUUGGGUUUAAAGGGUGCGUAGGCGGCGGUGCAAGUCAGCGGUAAAAGCCCGGGGCUCAACCCCGGCGAGCCGUUGAAACUGCAGUGCUAGAGAAGGCGAGAGGUACGCGGAAUGCGCAGUGUAGCGGUGAAAUGCUUAGAUAUUGCGCAGAACUCCGAUUGCGAAGGCAGCGUACUGGCGCCUGACUGACGCUGAGGCACGAAAGCGUGGGGAUCGAACAGGAUUAGAUACC
rnacentral:rRNA from 1 species